rnacentral:lncRNA from 1 species
CCUUUGGGUGACUCGGGACUAGAAAUACCAGGUCACCAUAGGGCUUUCUCAAACUGAAAGUAAUACCAUGCCAGAGUGGGGCAUUAAUAUCACUGCAUGCGGUAAAAAAUAUGAAUGUUAGAUGGGAUGCAUUGUGUACAGAGAUGUUCAGAACUCUGUGGAUUAAAAACCCUUGCUUAAACAUUAUCUCUUUGAGUAUGGCACGCC